rnacentral:rRNA from 1 species
CAGCUGGUGGAUAGCUCGGCUCGAGAGCCGAUGACGGACGUGCCAAGCUGCGAUAAGCCUCAGGGACCCGCAUGGAGGGAAAGAACUGAGGAUCUCCGAAUGGGAAUCCCCACGCAAUUGCCUCGCGCAAUGGGGAACGUUCCGAAUUGAAACAUCUUAGUAGGAACAGGAAAAGAAAGCAAUCCGCGAUGUCGUUAGUAACGGCGAGUGAACGCGAUACAGUCCAAACCGAAGCCUUCGGGCAAUGUGGUGUACGGACUACCCAUAACGGACCUGGAUCNGAACCAGAUCCCGGGGUUGUUCCAGAAUAGCGGGGGUUGGAUAUCCCUCGUGAAUUUCGCAGGCAUCAACUGCGAAGACUAAACACUCCUCGAGACCGAUAGCGAACAAGUAGCGUGAGCGAACGCUGAAAAGCACCCCGAACAGGGCGGUGCAAUAGGGCUUGAAAUCAGUUGGCGAUAGAGCGACGUGGCAUACAAGGUCACUCGACGAAAGAACUGGGAGCGAUCCCGUAGUAUGACUCGAGUGAAGCCGAUGUUACGUCGUGCGUUUUGAAAAACGAACCAUGGAGUGUGUCUGACUGGCGAGUCUAAGGGGUGAACCCCCGGAGGCAUAGGGAAACCGAUACGGCCGCAGUCUUUGACCAGGGCCACCGUCUUCAAGGGCGGGGAGCCAACCGGACACGACCCGAAACCAAGUGAUCUACGCCGGAGCAGGGCGAAGCGUGGCGAAAGCUGCGUGGAGGCCCGUUAGAGUUGGUGUCCUACAAUACCCUCUCGUGACUCUGGUGUAGGGGUGAAAGGCCCAUCGAACUUGGCAACAGCUGGUUCCAACCGAAACAUGUCGAAGCAUGACCUCUGAUGAGAUAGUUCGUGAGGUAGAGCGACCGAUUGGGAAUCCGGACUCCGAGAGGAGUUCGCUUCCCUGUCAAACUCCGAACUUACGAACGUCGUAGACUCAGGGAGUCCGGUGUGCGGGGUAAGCUUGUGCACCGUGAGGGAGACAACCCAGAGCCAGGUUAAGGACCCAAAGUGUGGAUUAAGUGUGAUUGAAGAUUGUCUCGAGCCCUAAACAGCCGGGAGGUGAGCUUAGAAGCAGCUACCCUCUAAGAAUAGCGUAACAGCUUACCGGCCGAGGUUCGAGGCGUCGAAAAUGAUCGGGACUCAAAUCCACCUCCGAGACCUGGCGGCGUGUCACACGACACGAUUCCGUAGGUUGGCAUACUGCAUGGGUGGAAGCACGGGUGAGAACUCGUGUGGACCGUGCAGCAACGAAAAUCAUGGUCUCAGUAGCAGCGAGAGUCGGGUGUGAACCCCGACGGCCUUACGCGCAAGGGUUCCUCGGCACUGUCAAUCAGCCGAGGGUUAGUCGAUCCUAAGUCUANAACGUCGACGCUUUAGGAAACACCGAGCGGGGCCUUCGCCCCGUCGAAUCACCGAAAUUCGUGGAAGCCGUAACGGCACGAAGCGAACGAAUGGUGAGACAGGGAAACUCGGCGGUACCUAGAGCCCGUGAAAAGACAAGCAAGAAGCUCGUACCGAGAUCCGACACAGGUGCGCUGGCAGAGCAAGCCAAGGCCUGUCGGGAUCAACCGACGUUAGGGAAUUCGGCAAGUUAGUCCCGUAAGUUCGCGAUAAGGGAUGCCUGCUCUUGACCGAGCAGGUCGCAGUGACUCGGACGCUCCGACUGUCUAGUAACAACAUAGGUGACCGCAAAUCCGCAAGGACUCGUACGGUCACUGAAUCCUGCCCAGUGCGGGUAUCUGAACACCUAGUACAAUAGGACGAAGGACCCGUCAACGGCGGGGGUAACUAUGACCCUCUUAAGGUAGCGUAGUACCUUGCCGCUUCAGUAGCGGCUUGCAUGAAUGGAUCAACGAGAGCGUCACUGUCCCAACGUUGGGCCCGGUGAACAGUACGUUCCAGUGCGGAGUCUGGAGACCCCCAAGGGGAAGCGAAGACCCUAUAGAGCUUUACUGCAGGCUGUCGCUGAGACGUGGUCGCUAAUGUGCAGCAUAGGUAGGAGCCGUUACACAGGUACCCGCGCCAGCGGGCCACCGAGGCAACAUUGAAAUACUACCCGUUAGUGACUGCGACUCUCACUCCUGGCGGAGGACACCGGUAGCCGGGCAGUUUGACUGGGGCGGUACGCGCUCGAAAAGAUAUCGAGCGCGCCCAAAGAUUUCCUCACGCGAGUCGGGAACUCGUGGAAGAGCGCAAGAGCAAACGGAAGUCUGACAGUGACAUUCCCAACGAGUGUCGCUGACGCGAAAGCGUGGUCUAGCGAACCUACGAGGUUCAUUCAUGGGACCCGUAGAUGACAGAAAAGCUACCUUAGGGAUAACAGAGUCGUCACCGGCAAGAGCACAUAUCGACCCGGUGGCUUGCUACCUCGAUGUCGGUUCCCUCCAUCCUGCCUGUGCAGAAGCAGGCAAGGGUGAGGUUGUUCGCCUAUUAAAGGAGGUCGUGAGCUGGGUUUAGACCGUCGUGAGACAGGUCGGCUGCUAUCUAUUGGGGGUGUUAAGGAACUUGACGUGAACGUUCGUAUAGUACGAGAGGAACUACGAAUGGGUGCCACUGGUGUACCGGUUGUCCGAGAGGGCAGAUGCCGGGCAGCUACGCACCACGGGGUAAGAGCUGAACGCAUCUAAGCUCGAAACCCACACGGAAAAGAAGUUCCACUGAGGUCACUCGUAGAAGACGAGUUCGAUAGACUCGGGGUGUACGCAACGAGGCAACGAGUUG